CCUUUUGGAUUUUUUUUUUUGCCUCGUCCUCUUUUUCAGGAGCUUCGAACAGUAACACGCCUCGCCGCCAGAAGCCUCGGGAACGACUCGUCGACGGCCGCAUCCAUCUCCUAGGUCAGUCCGUCCUCUUCCCUUUCCUCUCGAGCGUUACUGUUCAUGGUCUCGCUGAGCCUUUUCGUCCUCGCAUUUCGGAGGUCACGGUCGCUGGUUUCUACCAACGUCGUUGCCCGCGCGCUCUCUUUUAUCUGUUUUUUUCCGUCGCAGGUAGGACUCGGUGAGGCUGCAGCGAGUAUGGUAAUCUCCAGAGUAUCCAGAAUCGGAGCUCGCGCGGUCAGAGAGCUCUCGCGACGAGGCACCAGUACAUCCCUAGUAAGAAGACAACUAGUCCCGCGAAGACAUUCUAGUCCUACAAUGCAGCCUUCGGACAAGCUGUUCCAAGGUGCCCUACUUCAGAAGCGUUUCUUUUGUUCUGUCACCACUGCUGAUGAUGCUCAUGAGGGACAUGAUGAAGAGAAAGACAAGAUAUCUGUGACAUUCGUUGAUAAGGAUGGUGAAGAAAAGCAAAUCAAGGUUCCCAUUGGAAUGUCAAUGUUAGAAGCAGCUCAUGAAAAUGAUAUAGAACUUGAAGGAGCAUGUGAAGGUUCACUUGCAUGUUCAACAUGUCAUGUCAUUGUGAUGGACAUGGACUACUAUAAUAAGCUGGAUGAUCCAACUGAUGAGGAAAAUGACAUGUUGGAUUUAGCUUUCGGGCUUACAGAAACGUCUCGCCUUGGUUGUCAAGUGAUUGCUAGACCUGAACUAGAUGGAAUGCGCUUGGCGAUUCCAGCAGCCACUCGAAACUUUGCUGUUGAUGGAUAUGUUCCAAAGCCUCAUUGACAUGAUAUAACUUUGAAAGUUUUUUCUGAGUGUAAAGGAUGCAAUCAUCCCAAUUUUGUGGCAGAUGCUACCUGAAAGAAUGAUAACAGGGAUGUGUCCUAAGAAUUUCCUCCUUCUGUAAGGACGCACAAUUUAGAGCCUAACUUGUUAGUCAUGAUAAAUUAACAAGGUAAGAAAUCCUUCAUUCUUGUGGACAGAGAGAGUGGAAAUCCCAAGUAGUUUUAGUUUGUUAAGUGGAAAUCAUAGGUGGAAUGAUAAUUCAUCUAGACAUGCACGGAGCAUCUAUUGACCAAGGCUUAGGUGCUCCAAUGGUCUCUGAUAACUAUCUUUUGGAACUUUUAUCCAGUGUGUACAUUGCUAGAACUUGUUACAAGCGCAUAACGGAUGCUACUCUGUGUGUUAAACUGCAUUUGGUCACAUUAUUAAGUAGCGAAAGUUGGAAUAAACUUGUAUGUGUGGACUAACCUUUACUUUUUAUUUGUGGGUAUCAUUC